ACCAGAGUACUAUGAAUCUGAAAAUUUAAAACUCAAAGAACUUGGCGGUGUUUUANAGCCACUUAGGGGAACCUGUCUCGUAAUCGACAAUCCGCGUUGUACCUGACCUUUUUUUGUUUUUCAGUUUGUAUACCGUUGUCGUCAGGUAACUUUUUAGAAGAUAAAAGUUGGCUAGGUAAAUAUAUAAUUUAGUACGUCAAAUCAAGGUGCAGCUAAUAAAAAGGGGAGGAUGGGUUACAGUUAUAUAUUUAUAAUUACGAAUAUUCCCAUGAAGGUAUGGGUUAUGAAGGAGGACUUAAAAGUAAAUUAAAUUAUAAAAAUAAUUUGAAUAAGGCUCUGAAGCGUGU
rnacentral:rRNA from 1 species